rnacentral:snRNA from 1 species
AUACUUACCUGGACGGGGUCGACGGGCGAUCAGCAAGGCCCGUGGCCUAGAUCAAUGGCUUACAUUGCACUUGGUGAGCGCGUUGGUUUACCAUCUCCCCAAGUGGGAGAGUGGACGUCAUAAUUUGUGGUAGAGGGGGUACGCGUUCGCGCGGCCCCUG